ACAAGUACAUCAACUCCCAGCUCCGCUCCAUCACCCACAGCUUUGUGGGAAGGCCUUCUGAAGGGCUGUCCUGAGACCAUGUUAUCUCUACCUGCAUUCUGGAAUCAGGGAGAAAGCCAAAACUGACGACAAGACACUAGAUCAGCCAUGUCCAACCCUUUGACUACAAGGACUUUUCCACCUAUCUGUGGUGGAAACCCCUUGAGGUUAAGACCCCACAAUCACAUGAGGAUGGAGUGGCUCACCCUCAGUCAACAGGCCAGACUCAAGGGGUUCCUGGCAAGUCAUUUCUCCCUCAGGCCUUCGGUUUCCUCACCUACAAGAUGAGAGGGCUGGACCAGAUGGAAAUUCAGGGGGUAAGGGGAUGUCCUCGCUCAGCCCACCCCCACCCCCACGGGACCCUGGAGCCUCCAUCCCAGUUCCCACCACGCGCCUGCUCCACAAAUCCUGCCCAAGGUGCUGUCAUCUAUAUGAUCUCAGUAUUUUAAACAUCAGCUUCCAGCCCAUAUGGUGGUUCAUGCUUGUAAUAUCAGCUGUUGAAGAGGCUGAAAUGAGAGGAUUCCUUGAGCCCAGGAGUUCACAAGCAACCUGGGCAACAUAGCAAGACCCAGUCUCUAUCAAAAUUAAAAAAAAAAAAAAGUGUUCCUAUUUCUCCACAUCCUCUCCAGCACCUGUUGUUUCAUGA
ensembl:lncRNA novel transcript